GACGAACGCUGGCGGCGUGCUUAACACAUGCAAGUCGAACGGAAAGGCCCUGCUUUUGUGGGGUGCUCGAGUGGCGAACGGGUGAGUAACACGUGAGUAACCUGCCCUUGACUUUGGGAUAACUUCAGGAAACUGGGGCUAAUACCGGAUAGGAUCUCCUGCUGCAUGGUGGUGGUUGGAAAGUUUCGGCGGUUGGGGAUGGACUCGCGGCUUAUCAGCUAGUUGGUGGGGUAGUGGCUUACCAAGGCUUUGACGGGUAGCCGGCCUGAGAGGGUGACCGGGCACAUUGGGACUGAGAUACGGACCAGAAUGCUACGGGCGGCAGCAGUGGGGAAUAUUGCACAAUGGGCGGAAGCGUGAUGCAGAAACGCCGCGUGCGGGAUGACGGCCUUCGGGUUGUAAACAGCUUUGGAAUGUGACGAAGAGUGAGUGACGGUAAUGGGUAAAGAAGCAACGGCUAACUACGUG
rnacentral:rRNA from 1 species